UGGUAGUAAUGCUGUGGCAAUACCUAAGCUCAAGUUUGUACUUUCCUUGUGUUUGCCUAAACCUAGUUGAACUCCAUGCAUCAGGUUAAUCAUCUUCUGCUGAUCUCAAUCUGCCUGCCUCUCCCAGCACCUCGCAAGUCUGCCUUCCAGCCAACGGUCCUGCUCCUUCUCCCUGCCCUGCUUCACUUAACUCUGGUUCAGCUCCCCAAAACCUCACCUCAUCAACUUCUCAAAAUUUCAAAAGUCUGGAACAGAGUCUGAGCAAUGCCAACCAAGGCAAAGCGUAGAUCCUGAAAUGAAUGGAACAAUCUGGAGCCGAUACUGCAGGAGCUGCAAGACGGGAGAAACCAGGAUGAACUUUGAUGUCUCACACACCACCUGGACUUCUCAGCACAGAGUAUUAGAGACUUUAUUCAGGGUGGACAGAAUUAACUGACAGCAUAACAACGGAUCCAAUGGGAAAAGGUAACAUUCCCACAAUCAGAUGAUACAAGAUGGCAAUGACUUCUAAAAGGUGGAUUCUAUCGAUUUUUCCACAUCAGUGUGUGCUUUCAGGUGUCGAGGAGUACUUCUGCAUAUGUGAAAACAGAAGUGUGGUCCUUCAGUGUCUCCACAGGGAGCUGUGUGAAGUCUGAAAAAUGUCCGAAGACUACCAGUCUGAAAAAAAACUGGGGAUGUGAAGAAGUGAGGGCAUUUUCAUAUUAGAAUUGAUUGCUUUGCACCGUGCCUGAGUCUGCUGCAGGAUUGUGUCUCCAGGAUUCAUUAGCUGCUACUAACUUAAUACACCCCAACCUGUACAGUCAAAUGAAUCGAGCCAAUUUGUAAUGUUGGUAAGGUACGCACCAGGUUUUGACAAGGAGGAAGAA